GUGUGGGUCUGGGGGUGUGAUUUGUGGUGCGUGGGUGUGUUUUGUGGUGCAUGGGUGUGUUUUGUGGUGCGUGGGUCUGGGGGUAUGUUUUUUGCCCGUGGGUGUGUUUUGUGGUGCGUGGGUCUGAGGGUAUGUUUUGUGGUGCGUGGGUCUGAGGGUAUGUUUUGUGGUGCGUGGGUGUAUUUUGUGGUGUGUGGGUCUGGGGGUAUGUUUUGUGCCCGUGGGUGUGUUUUGUGGUGCGUGGGUGUGUUUUGUGGUGCGUGGGUCUGGGGGUAUGUUUUGUGCCCGUGGGUGUGUUUUGUGGUGAAUGGGUCUGAGGGUAUGUUUUGUGGUGCGUGGGUCUGAGGGUAUGUUUUGUGGUGCGUGUUCUGAGGUGUGUUUUGUGGUGCGUGGGUCUGAGUGUAUGUUUUGUGGUGCGUGGUUCUGAGGGUAUGUUUUGUGGUGCGUGGGUCUGAGUGUAUGUUUUGUGCCCGUGGGUGUGUUUUGUGGUGCGUGGGUCUGAGGGUAUGUUUUGUGGUGCGUGGGUCUGAGGGUAUGUUUUGUGGUGCGUGGGUGUGUUUUGUGGUGCGUGGGUCUGAGGGUAUAUUUUGUGGUGCGUGGGUGUGUUUUGUGGUGCGUGGGUCUGAGGGUAUGUUUUGUGGUGCGUGGGUCUGAGGGUAUGUUUUGUGGUGCGUGGGUGUGUUUUGUGGUGCGUGGGUCUGAGGGUAUGUUUUGUGGUGCGUAGGUCUGAGGAUAUGUUUUGUGGUGCGUGGGUCUGAGGGUAUGUUUUGUGGUGCGUUGGUGUGUUUUGUGGUGCGUGGGUCUGAGGGUAUGUUUUGUGGUGCGUGGGUCUGAGGGUAUGUUUUGUGGUGCGUGGGUCUGAGGGUAUGUUUUGUGGUGCGUGGGUCUGAGGGUGUGUUUUGUGGUGCGUGGGUCUGAGGGUAUGUUUUGUGGUGCGUGGGUCUGAGGGUAUGUUUUGUGGUGCGUGGGUCUGAGGGUAUGUUUUGUGGUGCGUGGGUCUGAGGGUGUGUUUUGUGGUGCGUGGGUCUGAGGGUAUGUUUUGUGCUGCGUGGGUCUGAGGGUAUGUUUUGUCGUGCAUGGGUCUGAGGGUAUGUUUUGUGGUGCGUGGGUCUGAGGGUGUGUUUUGUGGUGCGUGGGUCUGAGGGUGUGUUUUGUGGUGCGUGGGUCUGAGGGUAUGUUUUGUGGUGCGUGGGUGUGUUUUGUGGUGCGUGGGUCUGAGGGUGUGUUUUGUGCCCGUGGGUAUGUUUUGUGGUGCGUGGGUCUGAGGGUAUGUUUUGUGGUGCGUGGGUCUGAGGGUAUGUUUUGUGGUGCGUGGGUCUGAGGGUAUGUUUUGUGGUGCGUGGGUCUGGGGGUAUGUUUUGUGGUGCAUGGGUCUGAGGGUAUGUUUUGUGGUGCGUGGGUCUGAGGGUAUGUUUUGUGGUGCGUGGGUCUGGGGGUAUGUUUUGUGGUGCGUGGGUCUGAGGGUAUGUUUUGUGGUGCAUGGGUCUGAGGGUAUGUUUUGUGGUGUGUGGGUCUGAGGGUGUGUUUUGUGGUGCGUGGGUCUGAGGGUAUGUUUUGUGGUGCGUGGGUCUGAGGGUAUGUUUUGUGGUGCGUGGGUCUGAGGGUAUGUUUUGUGGUGCGUGGGUCUGAGGGUAUGUUUUGUGGUGCGUGGGUCUGAGGGUGUGUUUUGUGGUGCGUGGGUGUGUUUUGUGGUGCGUGGGUCUGAGGGUAUGUUUUAUGGUGCGUGGGUCUGAGGGUGUGUUUUGUGGUGCGUGGGUCUGAGGGUAUGUUUUGUGGUGCGUGGGUCUGAGGGUGUGUUUUGUGGUGCGUGGGUCUGAGGGUGUGUUUUGUGGUGCGUGGGUCUGAGGGUAUGUUUUGUGGUGCGUGGGUCUGAGGGUGUGUUUUGUGGUGCGUGGGUCUGAGGGUAUGUUUUGUGGUGCGUGGGUCUGAGGGUGUGUUUUGUGGUGCGUGGGUCUGAGGGUGUGUUUUGUGGUGCGUGGGUCUGGGGGUAUGUUUUGUGGUGCGUGGGUCUGGGGGUAUGUUUUGUGGUGCGUGGGUCUGGGGGUAUGUUUUGUGGUGCGUGGGUCUGAGGGUAUGUUUUGUGGUGCGUGGGUCUGAGGGUAUGUUUUGUGGUGCGUGGGUGUGUUUUGUGGUGCGUGGGUCUGAGGGUAUGUUUUGUGGUGCGUGGGUGCGCGCGGGGGUGUGAGUGUGGUUGUUCUUAGUGUUUUUAGCUGCCCAACUGUUUUAAAAGUCAUUUAAUUUGUAAAGCAUUGUAAUGGGCAUGUGGCUUGAGAUAGUCUUGUAUUACAUUCUGAGAAAGUUUUAGUGCAGCAGUGGAUCUCUUGCUGUGAAAGCUAGAUUCCCAUAGCUGCACCCGCUUGUCUAUGAUAAGUGACUAGGCAUAUUAACACACAUACAUACAAAUGGACAGUAUACAAAUAGACAGUAAUGACUCAGGGAGUAUUAUCUGUGGUCUGUUGAGUAAUAGUGUCACCUGAUAGUGGAGACAGUGUGAUACUAUUUAUAUGUUUGUAGUUACUGUAAAGAUGGGUGAAAGAUUUCUGAAUCAAACAGCACACAGCACACAGACACAUGACAUUCCUUUUCCCUUCUCUUUCACUAGUUCCUAACAGUUCAUACCAGUUCACUUCCUGUAGUAUGUUGCAACAGAUAUAGUUCCUCUCUCUCCCUCCCCACUAUACCAGGGAAGUCCCUCUGUGAUUAUGAAUGACUUAGCAUUGGAGUUCCAGGCUUGAUAUUGAACCAGAGAGGAUGUGAAAUCAGUUCGCAGCCACACCUACUCACACCACUCUGCCUAGACAUUGUCUGUUAAACAAUUAUUAUUAUAAUAAUACAUCAUUAUAUAUCUAGUAAUAUAAACAUAAUAUACAUUUUGUACAUAGUAGAAUAUGAAAUAUGAUUACGAUAUGUAUUACCGUUUUCCAGUUAGUCACUGAGGAAGUGACUCAUGGAUCCAAUGUCUUUAGUAGAUUAAAUUGACCCAUAGACACUGAUUUAAAGUUUCCCCCUAAUGACAAUAGUGUUGGGGAAGCUGAUCCUAGAUCUGUGCCUAUGGGCUCGUCUGACCCAGAUCAGAUUUUAGUGUUGUCUUUAGGUCAACUAAUGCUUAUAGUGAGGGAUGUAGGACUGGCAACUUUCCACAUCUUAUAUUGGUUUAUAUUCUAUGUGAGCGCAAAUCAAAUAGCGAGAUUCCAAACUGCUACCUUGCUGCUAUCUUUAGGAACUUGUUCAAUUCCUUUUGUGGAUCUGAAAGGACAACUACAAGUGGAAGGAUACGGGUGUGUUAGACCUGCAGCAGAAGUUAAAAUGGGACUAGAGAAUCAUAACUGUUCUUGUAGAAAUACUGACAGGAUAUAUAACACAUUAUUAGGCUUUUGACAUGACAACAAAAUUACUUAUUUUUGUUCAAUUUCAUAAUGAAUGAAUAAUGAAUGUAUUUGUUAAUGUGAUUUUGUAUUGAAUGAUUACUCAUGUGUAUAACACUCAUUUCUGUUUGCUUUGCUAACCUGCUCAACAGCUGGUAUUAAAACAUCCUGCUAUUCAUCUUUA